UACGUAGGGGGCAAGCGUUGUCCGGAUUUACUGGGCGUAAAGGGCGCGUAGGCGGCCCGCUAAGUCGAACGUGAAAUCCCCGGGCUCAACCCGGGAACUGCGUCCGAGACUGGCGGGCUCGAAUUCGGGAGAGGGAUGCGGAAUUCCAGGUGUAGCGGUGAAAUGCGUAGAUAUCUGGAGGAACACCGGUGGCGAAGGCGGCAUCCUGGACCGAUAUUGACGCUGAGGAGCGAAAGCGUGGGGAGCAAACAGG
rnacentral:rRNA from 1 species